GCUCCAAUGGCUUAGUGGUUAGAGCGUCCGCUUCGGAUGCGGGAGGGAGGUCGUGGGCUCUAUGCCCGGUCGAGUCA